CAUUGCUUCUCAUCAAUAUUCCUCAUAACAAAUCCAUCCAUCCUUUGUAAAACAAGCUCAACCCUUGCUUCUCAUCAAUAUUCCUCAUUAAGAAUCCAUUCAUUCUUUGUCAAAAAAGCUUUGGUUUAUCGGCAGCUCCGUCCUCAAUAUACACGCUAAAAUGCAGGUCUCUUUCUUUACCCUUCGAUAGCUCAGUUGGUAGAGCGGAGGACUGUAGGCUGAUGUUCAAUCUGCAAUUAGCAGGUAUCCUUAGGUCGCUGGUUCAACUCCCGCUCGAAGGACAUUUUUAUAAUGUUGUCCUGUUUGGGUCAACAGGUAUUUCCUGAUCGCAAACCCUUGCUUCUUGUCAAUAUUCCUCAUGACAAAUCCAUCCAUUCUUUGUAAAACAAGCUCAACCCUUGCUUCUCAUCAAUAUUCCUCAUAACAAAUCCAUCCAUCCUUUGUAAAAAAAGCUCAACCCUUGCUUCUCAUCAAUAUUCCUCAUUAAGAAUCCAUUCAUUCUUUGUCAAAAAAGCUUUGGUUUAUCGGCAGCUCCGUCCUCAAUGUACACGCUAAAAUGCAGGUCUCUUUCUUUACCCUUCGAUAGCUCAGUUGGUAGAGCGGAGGACUGUAGGCUGAUGUUCACUGUGCAAUUAGCAGGUAUCCUUAGGUCGCUGGUUCAACUCCGGCUCGAAGGACAUUUUUAUAUUGUUGUCCGGUUUGGGUCAACAGGUAUUUCCUGAUCGCAAACCCUUGCUUCUUGUCAAUAUUCCUCAUGACAAAUCCAUCCAUUCUUUGUAAAACAAGCCCAACCCUUACUUCUCAUCAAUAUUCCUCAUAACAAAUCCAUCCAUCCUUUGUAAAACAAGCUCAACCCUUGCUUCUCAUCAAUAUUCCUCAUUAAGAAUCCAUUCAUUCUUUGUCAAAAAAGCUUUGGUUUAUCGGCAGCUCCGUCCUCAAUAUACACGCUAAUAUGCAAGUCUCUUUCUUUACCCUUCGAUAGCUCAGUUGGUAGAGCGGAGGACUGUAGGCUGAUGUUCAAUCUGCAAUUAGCAGGUAUCCUUAGGUCGCUGGUUCAACUCCGGCUCGAAGGACAUUUUUAUAAUGUUGUCCGGUUUGGGUCAACAGGUAUUUCCUGAUCGCAAACCCUUGCUUCUUGUCAAUAUUCCUCAUGACAAAUCCAUUCAUUAUUUGUAAAACAAGCUCAACCCUUGCUUCUCAUCAAUAUUCCUCAUAACAAAUCCAUCCAUCCUUUGUAAAACAAGCUCAACCCUUGCUUCUCAUCAAUAUUCCCCAUUAAGAAUCCAUUCAUUCUUUGUAAAACAAGCUCAACCCUUGCUUCUCAUAAAUAUUCCUCAUUAAGAAUCCAUUCAUUCUUUGUCAAAAAAGCUUUGGUUUAUCGGCAGCUCCGUCCUCAAUAUACACGCUAAAAUGAUGGUCUCUUUCUUUACCCUUCGAUAGCUCAGUUGGUAGAGCGGAGGACUGUAGGCUGAUGUGUUGUCAAAACCCAAAAUGUUGUCCGUUUUGGGUCACCAGGUAUUCCCUUAUCGCCAACCCUUUUUUCUAAUCAGUAUUCCUCAUAAAAAAUCCAUCCAUCCUUUGUAAAACAAGCCCAACCCUUGCUUCUCAUCAAUAAUCCUCAUAACAAAUCCAUCCAUUCUUUGUCAAACAAGCUUUGAUUUAUCGUCAGCUCCAUCCUCAAUAUACACGCUAAAAUGCAGGUCUCGUUCUUUACCCUUCGAUAGCUCAGUUGGUAGAGCAGAGGACUGUAUGCUGAUAUUCAAUGUGCAAUUAGCAGGUAUUCUUAGGUCGCUGGUUCAUCUCUGGCUUGAAGGACAUUUUUAUAAUGUUGUCCGUUUUGGGUUACUAGGUAUUUCCUGAUUGCCAACCCUUGCUAACAAAUCCAUCCAUCCUUUGUAAAACAAGCUUUGGUUUAUCGUCAGCUCCAUCCUCAAUAUACACGCUAAAAACCAGAUCACGUUCUUUACCCUUCGAUAGCUCAGUUGGUAGAGCUCAGUCCCUCUUCUCCUACUUACAAAGCUGGUAAUCACCUUGACUACAUCUUCACUAGAAACUGCUCUACUCCACAGAGUUACCUCCACAGACGUCUCUGACCACUUCUUCAUCUCUUACUCUCUCCCACUCUCUGUAACUAACGACCCUGCCCCAUCAACUGACCCUGUACCUGUUUGUCGCAACAUUCGCUCCCUCUCUCCUUCCUCUCUGGCUUCCUCUGUUCUAUCAGCUCUCCCUUUAAUUGUCUCCUUCUCACUCCUGCAUCUGAACGUUGCCACAGAGACUCUCCUCUCAACUCUUUCCUUCUCUCUCGACUCUCACUGCCCUCUUACUACACAACAGGCUUUUAAAUCCCCUCCGGCUCCGUGGCUGCCUCAACCGGUGCGUGCCGUGAGAGCCACAAUGCGAGCAUCGGAAAGGAGAUGGCGUAAAUAUACAACAACCUGCUGACCUGCUUGCAUUUCAAUCUCUCAUUUUUCUGCUUCUAUCUCUGCUGCCAAAAGCUCCACUACCAAUCUUCUACCAAUGCAGAAUUGAAUCUUCAUCUCCUUCUAUCUCCACCGACAGGUUCCAACAACCUCCUUGAUCCCCACCAGUCAGGCUUCAAGGCAGGCCAUUCCACAGAGACUGCUCUCCUUGCUGUCUCAGAAACUCCACACUGCUUGAGCAGCUUCUCUUUCUCCCCUGUCCUCAUCCUUCUGGACCUCUCUGCUGCAUUUGACACAGUCAACCACCAGAUCCUUAUUUCCUCCCUUCAGGAACUUGGUGUCUCAGGCUCUGCUCUCUCCCUUCUCUCGUCCUACCUUGACGGCCGCACCUACCGGGUAACCUGGCGAGGAUCUGUGUUGAACCGUGUCCUCAUACUACUGGAGUUCCUCAGGGUUCCGUCCUGAGUCCCCUGCACUUCUCGCUCUACUCCUACCACAGCUAUGCCGAUGACACCUAACUAAUUCUCUCCUUCCCUCACUCGGACACCCAGGUGGCGGCACGAAUCUUUGCCUUUCGGACAUCUCUCAGUGGAUGUCCGCUCACAAUCUGAAAAUCAACCCCGACAAGACUGAACUACAUCUUUUCCUGGGAAAAGACUCUCCUACCCAGGAAUUGACCAGAACUGGCAACUCCGUGUUAACGCCCACUGUGACUGCUAGAAACCUCAGAGUGACACUUGACAGUCAACUCUCCCUGAAUGGCACUUAUCUAUAGCAAAUUGGCUUAUUUGAUUUGAACUUUCUUGAUUCUUUCUCUUUUGUAAGGACCUUUGUUGUUUGUAUCCCUAUGGUUGAAAUCCCUAUGUUUAUUGUCCCUGUUGUGUUUAAUAAAUAUAUCUAAUUCACUAAUGUUUACAUCAAUUAGUGAAUCGUUGUAGUGAUUAGUUAAACAAACAAAUCAAGUACUUUUGUCUCACUAAAAUAGUAAUUACCAGUAGUGGGGUAAACAUUUCUUUAUUUGCAAACAGCACUAGAUCAUUCACGUGUCUCUUUGCCCUGUGUGCAGGAGAACAAUUCAGUGCAAUGUGCUUUAAAACGCACAGCGACAAUAGCUUUAAAUUAUGUUGGACAAUUAUAAAAUUCAUGUUCUUUCAUCUUUAAUAAGGCCCAUUCAAAUAUUUCCAUUCAGAAGUUGUAUAAUCCUUAAAUUCAUGAACAAAGCAGGAAAUAUAGAAAACUUGUAUGUACAGAAACACAAAUGAACGCAACUCCUCAAGUUCCGUUUUUAAUAAACUAGUUUUUUUAAUGUUUCUGUUUAGCAUUCCUGUUUCCUAAGUAGUUCAAGUAGUUUACACAACAGUGAUAUGAUGCCAUAUCACCCAGUUAUCUGGAAGUUUGCUUUCCAACAUGUUGGCCUGUGAUCACAUCCAAAUAUAAAUUCAUUUUUGACCACUAAACAAGCUGUUCAUUUUCUUUCAUUGUAAUAUUUGUAGAGACCAGAAUAAGUUAAAUGAUCCAGCAAUUCACAAGAAAAUGAAGAAAGAUAAGAUGGACAUGUAAAGAGAGACAAUAUUUUAAGUAGGUUGAAAAUCAUCUUCUACGUGCUGUCCUUUUCAAUCACUUUGCAAUACCUCAAAUUUAUCUUGUGACCCCAUCAGUGGAAGGAACGAAAAACAAAGGCAGACACACUCAUUUCCAUUUUGAUAAUGGUUUGCCUACUCAACUACCAUUUAAAUUAUCAGUGGUCGUCCAGUCCUUGACAGUCCAGUCCUUGACAGUUACUUUUACCAUUUAAAUGAUUAAAACGAAAAUACUGAUUUACCAUUGUAGUUUUUUUAAAACCAAAAAUGCCAAUGGCUGGCCGAUAUAGAUGAAUACAAAAGACAGACAAUACAACAAUAGAAAAAUAAAAGGUCUACACAGAUCCUCCAAAGUGAGUAUUUUAAGUAUUAAAAAUCAAUAAAUUGUGUAAAUACGUGAAUGACAUGAAUUAACACUUUGCAAAAACAGUAAAGACCCAAUGCAAUGCACCUAUUUUGGAAUGUUAUUUCACUAUUUAUUGAUAUCAUAUUUAUUUAAUAAAUUAAGUAUAUAUAUAUAUAUAGACUUUUGAAUUCUGGCAUGAAUAUUUCUAAUAGGACAUGCUCAUACAUAUCUAUAUAUGUUAUAAUGUACAGAGAGUUGCAGGAAUGAGUCCUAAGACCUGGACAUCAAUCAGCGUUUUUGUACUUUUGAUCAUAACACAAACAAAAAAGCCCUCUGGUCAGCCCUUCCGAAACAACUUCACACAGCAGAGUUUCACCAUCAGUGACUGCUGUAAGAAGGCGACACUUUGCUACUAUAAUAUAUCAGCUGCAGCAAAGGUUUUUGGGUGAGUUCAGGAAACUUAUCCCUCCUUCCAUCACUUCAUGUAGCGUUAAGGAGGAACUUUGAGAAACAUUGCAUUACAUUAUAGUGAGAUAAACAAUGUCAUAAUGUGCUGAAAAGCCUUUAGUGUACAAAGCAACGGGACUAUAUGAGUAGUGUUUUCCCUAACCCUAAAACAAUAUAUCUGGGAACUGAAUUCAGUAAAUGCAAUGUGUGCCUACGUAAACAGGUUAUUGCGCCUAU
ensembl:lncRNA